AACGAACGCUGGCGGCAUGCCUAACACAUGCAAGUCGAACGAGACCUUCGGGUCUAGUGGCGCACGGGUGCGUAACGCGUGGGAACCUGCCCUUAGGUUCGGAAUAACUCCCCGAAAGGGGUGCUAAUACCGGAUAAUGUCUUCGGACCAAAGAUUUAUCGCCUUUGGAUGGGCCCGCGUUGGAUUAGCUAGUUGGUAGGGUAAAAGCCUACCAAGGCGACGAUCCAUAGCUGGUCUGAGAGGAUGAUCAGCCACACUGGGAGUGAGACACGGCCCAUACUCCGCGGAGGGGAAGCGGUGGGGAUUAUUGCAUAAAGGGCGAAGGACUGAACACGCACGGCCGGGUAGGAUGAGAAGGCAUAUGGUUUGGAAAACGCUUUUACCCGGAAUGAUAAUUCCAGAACGGGAGAAAAAAGCCCGGCUUACCCCAGA
rnacentral:rRNA from 1 species